UACGAAGGGGGCUAGCGUUGCUCGGAAUCACUGGGCGUAAAGCGCACGUAGGCGGAUUGCUAAGUCAGGGGUGAAAUCCUGGAGCUCAACUCCAGAACUGCCUUUGAUACUGGCGAUCUCGAGUCCGGGAGAGGUGAGUGGAACUGCGAGUGUAGAGGUGAAAUUCGUAGAUAUCCGCAAGAACACCAGUGGCGAAGGCGGCUCACUGGCCCGGUACUGACGCUGAGGUGCGAAAGCGUGGGGAGCAAACAGG
rnacentral:rRNA from 1 species